rnacentral:snRNA from 1 species
UUGCUUGGGCAGCACAUAUACUAAAAUUGGAAUAAUACAGAGUAGAUUAGCAUGGCCUCUGCA